ACCAGCUCUUCAAGUGGUCGGGAUGAUUAUUGGGCUUAAAGUGUCCGUAGCCGGUUUAGUAAGUUCCUGGUAAAAUCAGGUAGCUUAACUAUCUGUAUGCUAGGAAUACUACUAUACUAGAGGGCGGGAGAGGUCUGAGGUACUACAGGGGUAGGGGUGAAAUCUUAUAAUCCUUGUAGGACCGCCAGUGGCGAAGGCGUCAGACUGGAACGUGCCUGACGGUGAGGGACGAAAGCCAGGGGAGCGAACCGGAUUAGAUACCCGGGUAGUCCUGGCCGUAAACGAUGCAUACUAGGUGAUGGCCCGGCCAUGAGCCGUGUCAGUGCCGUAGGGAAACCGUUAAGUGUGCCGCCUGGGAAGUACGGUCGCAAGGCUAAAACUUAAAGGAAUUGGCGGGGGAGCACCACAAGGGGUGAAGCCUGGCGGUUC
rnacentral:rRNA from 1 species